GAUGAAGAACGCAGCGAAAUGCGAUAAGUAAUGUGAAUUGCAGAAUUCAGUGAAUCAUCGAAUCUUUGAACGCAUCUUGCGCUCCUUGGUAUUCUGAGGAGCAUGCCUGUUUGAGUGUCAUUAAAUUCUCAACUACACUGACUUUGAAUUGGUGUGGCUUGGAUUUGGGGGGAAAAUUGUUGUGGGCUUUUUGUAUAGUCUGCUCCCCUGAAAUUGAUUAGCGGUACCUUUGUGGAACUGUCUACAGGUGUGAUAAUUAUCUACAUCUUAGACAUCUGCUGGAAUGCUGCUUUCUAAACCUUACUUGUAUUGCCAAUCUUGACCUCAAAUCAGGUAGGACUACCCGCUGAACUUAAGCAUAUCAAUAAGCGGAGGA
rnacentral:misc_RNA from 1 species